UUUACACUGCCAGGUGGCCUGUGCGCGCCCGGUCCCCAGACCACACAUUGAGACACGAUGCUCCAGUGUGCAUGUGUGUGUUGGGGGGUGAAACAAGAGACUUGAAAGAAGAGGGUGGUGUCCUCACCAGAAAAAUUAAACCCUGAACUCAAAGAACGCGGCCACGACCCCGCAGCGCACGCAGAGCCCGCCUCUAAGGUUGAACAGGUUCUGCAACGCGCCGGCGAGGUCCUCCAGUCCUCGGGCUCCCCACCUGCACCACCGAGGAUGAACACGUGAGAUUGUGAUCUCGGGAAGUGCUUAGCUCAGCAGAAAGUGCUCAGCGCCCGUGGAAUUCUGAUGGGAGGUGUUACAAGGUCCCUGCAACUCUCUGCCACGUGGCUGUCCUGAUCUCCGGGAACGCUGUAUCUGGAGAGGGGGUGAUGAAAGAGCCCAGAGGGACCCUCAGCCAGGUCAGCGGGGAUCAGAGGAGGUUCCUGUAAGAUUGCGUCUGAUCGUCUCUCAACAGCAAGAGGUUGUGGAGGUGAUCUCAUCUGCAGAGGAGGAGGAGAAAAAGGAGGAGGAGAAAUAGGAGGAGGAAUCCCUCACGUCGGCUGAGAUUAGGGAGAUGCAUAUGAUGCAGGAAACGGUGCAAAGUUUUGUAGAAAAGCACUCCCAGGACGAAGUUGUAGUGGUGCGAGCCAGAAAUCCCAGAAAGGAGGCAAAAGCCAAAGUCACUGAAUAGUUCCUCUUUAAAUUUGCACAGAAAGACGAUUCCAGUCGCCAACAGGGAGCAGGGAUUGUGCUAGUGACAGUAACAGGCGUCCUGCACAGCAGCCUCAUCUCGAGUGUCUCCCUCACAACAGCCACGGAGGCUUUUAAAACCCUGACCAGGCACCCUCAAAGAAGCAGAACUUGACAUGAAGAUCUGAGUACAAGUUGGGUUUGCCGGCAGGGUGGUACCAGAAUGACCACAGUCGGCUGGAAGCCACCUCCGGAAGAUGAAUGACAACGCAGAGCCAAGAUUUCUUCUCCUCCUUAUCCGACACAAACCAGCCUGCACGCAGUGUCCUGUGUCAGCAAGAAGCAUGUGUCUGCACAGGUGUGUCAGAGCCAUUCUGGAUUUUUGGGUCAAUCCGUGUUAGCAUUAGAGUUGCUCUAAUUGGUACAAUUCUAUUAUUAUCCCGUUUCAACUUGCCUUACAAGGUCUUUCUAUUCUCUCCUCCAAACAGGAGGGUGACAGCGGUGGGGGGAUGUUACAUGAUAUUGAUUUUGACGUUGAUCUCUUUUGUGGUUCUGCCGUCUGCCUUUGAUAGGGUUGAGCCUGGGUCCUGGUGCCUCCUCGGAUCUCAGCCUGCCGAAAGGGGUGCACGGCUUGUUUUCACCUUUUGCUCUUCAAUUCUCCUUGUAUUCACAAGGCCAGUAUGGAGGCGCAUGGCCAUAUCUGGCUUGCGGGGGGCUGGGAAAGGUGUUCUCCACGUGCCCACCCAAGACCCAAGGGCUGCCAUCAUGAAAAGGAGGGAUGGCAGAAUGGAUCCUUGCAUGGUUAACUGUUUUCAUUUGCAGGAUGAGGACUCCCGAUUAUAGUCUAAAGGAAACUAUAGCAAAGCCCCAUAUAAGCCAUUUACAAAGCAUAGCCUUUUCCCUUUUUUCCCCUAAUAAACCAUUUCCUGGAAUUUGGAUGUAUAAUAUUAAUAGCCAGAACUUAUCAUGGCAUCUUACAUACAAGUCUGGGGAAUGUUGAUUAUACCACUACAGAUAGUGUUACGUAAUUCACAUUUACCCAGCUGAGGGUUAAAUGCUUUGCUUUGGAUUUAAAAGUCAGGAAGAGUCAGAUCCGGAAUCCAAAGCCAGACAGCUGGGUUGCAGGGCCCAUCCGUGCUGCUGGCUUGACUGGAAGCGGUCCGCUGCUUCACCCGUGGAGUGGUGUGAAAUGCAUGCUCCCUCAGGAUGCAGAGUGAACCCCCAUCUGGAGGAUGACGUGAACAGUUUUUAUUAUAUGUUUCAUCUUUUGUUUAAACUGUACUGUGCUGCAGUUUUUUUUAACUUUUAAAAAUAUUCUAAGGUGAUUAUGAAAACCCCAGACGUGAUAAAUAGAAAUUCCUCUUCAUCCCCAUUUCUCCUCCCAUUACCCAAGCAAUACUACCCUCUCUAGAACAGGGGUUGGCAAACUCUGGCCUGUGGACCAGAUCCAGCUACUUCCUACCCACCUUUUCUGUAAUCAGAUUUAUGGGGACCCCGUUAUGACCAUCAGUCAGUGUUCUCUGUGGCUGCUCUGUGCCCAAAGGGCAGAGUCGAAUAUUGUACCAGAGACUUUAUGGUCCAGAAAGCUCAGAAUAUCUCCUGCCUGUCACUUCACAUAAAAAGUUUGCCAGCCUUUGCUUCAGAACAAAUCAAUAUUCAGAUUUUGUGGCUGUUAUUUCAGAUCCUUUCCCAUGUUUUUUUUUAAACAUAUGUCUGAUUAUGCAUGUAUGCAAUUACACAAAUACAUUUCUACGUAUACAUAGCUAUAUAUACACAUGCAUACCUUAGGCGAGUGGAACGUACUAUGUAACUGAUGGACAUAAUAUAUCUUGGAAAUUGUUCCCAUAUCAAUGUCUACAAAGCUACUUUGUUAUUCGAGGAAAUCACAUCGUCCCUUGCACGGAUGUACAGUAAUUUAUUUGAUCAUUCCUCCACUCUGCUGAUGAACAUAAAGCUUGUUUUCAAUUUCUGUCAAACAUCUUGAAUGAGUCCUCAGAAUGUCUUUGAAAACCCAAUUGUAGCCUCCAUUCACUUAAUUUGUAAGAUUUGAAGUCUUCACAGCAGGGAGGCUGACUUCCUUCAGCACUGGAGUUUCUCCCACACGGUAAACAGGACCAGAAAUAUAUUCUGAAUUUCAGAUCUUAAUUAUGCACUGUACACUUAAUUAAAAUUCACAUUGUCAGUAAAAGGUAAGGACUAUAGAUUAGACUGUGGUGGUUGGCAUCAUGAUUAAUAUACAUUUAAGCUUUAAAAUCUGUUGUUACAUUAUGUUGGAUUUUCCAGAAAGAAACAUGAAGUUUAAAUGCAUUUUUAAGAAGACAGAAGGAGAUAUGAACUCGGUGGAAGAAAUUCAGCGUAUUCUAAGAGCAGAUGAUAGCUGCGUAUAAUGCAAAAAUGGAGCCAAAGUCACACCUUAAUUUGCGUGUUGCUUCAAGCAGGCAGGUUUUUCUUCUCCUUCCUGAAAAGUAGAACCGUGCAAAGCUGGAGGAUGAAUGUGCAAAGGCUGAAACUCCAGGAUAGAACUUGCAUGUAAUUUUUUAUUUUGCAAAACUAACUAUGUUAAGUUUCACCACGCUUGGAGUCACCACCCUCGGAGUUUUAGAGGAUCACUAUGCUUCAUUUGUCCCCAAAGUUUGCAUUUUUCUGUAGUUACAUUUUCCUAUGAGAGAAUCUUGUUUUUCUAUUUUUACCCUAAAAAGUGCCCUUUGUUUGGAGACUUACCCGUCUGUGGCUUGAUGUGAAUUUUCCCACUGCGUUCGGUGCAUUUCCAUUUAUAAGCCACGUUUCUCUCACCGUCUCUGCUUCACACUCAGUGAAGAGUUUGUUCACGAUUGGAAGUGGCCCCCAUCCUUACACCCUGUAGUUCCCCAGAGCUCGCUCCCGCUAGUCCGAGAUCCGCUUUCUCUUCUCUGUUUCGGUGUUUGACUAUAACAAAUCCGAAGACCUUUGCUUUUUACUGACACUAACUUUAGUCUUUUAAUUUUGCUGUCUCCCUUCUCUUUGGUUCUUCGUUUUCAAUGUUUUGAGCUAUUGCUUCUCUAUGAUUGCCCUUAUACUUCGAGCAAUUUAAGCGCAUGUUAAAUAUCUGGAAUAGAAUGUGCUAGCUCUGUUUUAUAUCUCCCUUUUUUCUUGGUAAUUAGACUUCCAAAUGUUACCCAAACACAUGCCACUGAGAAGAGCAUGACACUGCCCAGUAAGUUUUUCUUUGUGACUGGGUGCAACUAUGUGACCACUUUUACGCCAAGGGGUGUGAGAAGUGGCCUUUGCAGUAUUAAGGGGCAUCUUUCAGUGGUGAGUCUACUGGCUGCUGGCUUGCUGGCAUGUGGCUGGGUGCUUGGCAGUAAAGCUUUCAACUUGGACCCGGAUGUGGGAGCUGCGUGUUGACCUUGAGAGGCCUGAUGACAGAGACACAACAGGAAGAAGGUGUCUAGGUACGUACCGGGAGAUAAAUGCCAACAGCACCAAAGUCCAGGAAAGCUUACUUAGUGCUAGAGGAGAGCAGAGUACAGACUCUGCUUCCUAAUGUGAUUAAAUCCAAAAUGUCUUGAAGGCUGCCCAGGGGAGAGGCAAAAAAGUAUGUGUACGUGUGUAUGUGUGUGCGAUAUUCUAAAUCGCUUGUGUAUUUCACUCAAAUUGAUGGCAAUCACCUAGAAAUCACUAAAUUUUCUGCUACAGUGUAAAUCGUGGACUUGGGAUGAAGAGAUGAAUUACAAAACUUGUAUUUCUUUGCAUCCCUUGAUCCUGGCGCACCUGGUAUGGGUUUAGGCUGAGGCAGGCAGCAAGCAACUGUUGGCGAGUUUGGAGCCUGCUGGUGGCACCUGCUCAUUUGCUUUCCUCUGAAACCUUUUUUCCUAAGGGCGGUGGGCACGUGGUGGUCAGGAGUUGCUUCUGUUCCCUCCCGAAUAUACUGUGCUGUCCUACAUCUGUCACUGUAUUUUUGCAGAGUCAGACGGUCUUCGCUGAAUUAUUUUUUAUUGCCAUCAUUUGUGAUCUCCACGAUAGACCUGUCUUUAUAUAUUUUCUUCAAAACAGGCUCCCAGUCAAUUUUUGGAGAGAGGACUGAGAGUCUCUUGGUCAAAUUUAAGAAUUGCAACUGGGGCAGUCACUUUGCUGAUGAAAAAAGCA